CACGUAGGGAGCAAGCGUUGUCCGGAUUUAUUGGGCGUAAAGAGCUCGUAGGUGGUUCGGUAAGUCAGGUGUGAAACCUCCAGGCUCAACCUGGAGACGCCACUUGAUACUGCUGUGACUAGAGUCCGGUAGGGGAGCGUGGAAUUCCUGGUGUAGCGGUGAAAUGCGCAGAUAUCAGGAGGAACACCAGCGGCGAAGGCGGCGCUCUGGGCCGGUACUGACACUGAGGAGCGAAAGCGUGGGUAGCAAACAGG
rnacentral:rRNA from 1 species